rnacentral:snoRNA from 1 species
UGGACCAAUGAUAAGAAUAUACUAUUAACCAAGAAAUACGACUAAUCUAAUUCUGUACACAGGAGGGUCAAAG